GUCGAACGGUAACAGGAAGCAGCUUGCUGCUUCGCUGACGAGUGGCGGACGGGUGAGUAAUGUCUGGGAAACUGCCUGAUGGAGGGGGAUAACUACUGGAAACGGUAGCUAAUACCGCAUAACGUCGCAAGACCAAAGAGGGGGACCUUCGGGCCUCUUGCCAUCGGAUGUGCCCAGAUGGGAUUAGCUAGUAGGUGGGGUAACGGCUCACCUAGGCGACGAUCCCUAGCUGGUCUGAGAGGAUGACCAGCCACACUGGAACUGAGACACGGUCCAGACUCCUACGGGAGGCAGCAGUGGGGAAUAUUGCACAAUGGGCGCAAGCCUGAUGCAGCCAUGCCGCGUGUAUGAAGAAGGCCUUCGGGUUGUAAAGUACUUUCAGCGGGGAGGAAGGCGAUAAGGUUAAUAACCUUGUCGAUUGACGUUACCCGCAGAAGAAGCACCGGCUAACUCCGUGCCAGCAGCCGCGGUAAUACGGAGGGUGCAAGCGUUAAUCGGAAUUACUGGGCGUAAAGCGCACGCAGGCGGUCUGUCAAGUCGGAUGUGAAAUCCCCGGGCUCAACCUGGGAACUGCAUUCGAAACUGGCAGGCUAGAGUCUUGUAGAGGGGGGUAGAAUUCCAGGUGUAGCGGUGAAAUGCGUAGAGAUCUGGA
rnacentral:rRNA from 1 species